rnacentral:rRNA from 1 species
UACAGAGGUCUCAAGCGUUGUUCGGAAUCACUGGGCGUAAAGGGCGUGUAGGCGGUCAGGUAAGUGAGACGUGAAAUGCCCCGGCUUACCCGGGGACUGCGUCUCAUACUGCUUGGCUUGAGUACGGGAGAGGGUGUGGGAAUUCCUGGUGUAGCGGUGAAAUGCGUAGAUAUCAGGAGGAACACCGGUGGCGAAGGCGCACACCUGGCCCGAUACUGACGCUGAGGCGCGAAAGCUAGGGGAGCAAACGGG